rnacentral:lncRNA from 1 species
UAGAGAUGGGAUUUCACUGUGUUAGCCAGGAUGGUCUUGAUCUCCUGACCUCGUGAUCUGCCUGCCUUGGCCUCCCAAAGUGCUGAGAUUACAGAGGCAUAGAGUAAAAAGUGAAUGAGAAUGGUCUUCUUAUAUAAUGGAGGGAUGGAAGAAGAUACUUAGAAAAAUCAGGGAAGAGUGAAGAAGAUACUUCGAAAAAUCAGGGAAGAUUUUCAUCAUAAGGUCCAAGCAAAGGCAUGAGUAUAAGAUAUUCCUGAGUCUGAGUCUACUGACAAAUAUACCACAUCCCCAGAGUAACUUGGAGUCUCUUAAAAUUGUCUUGCUGGCAUCUAGCGGAGAUUGUCCCCAUAAGCAUGUUCCUUAUGAUGGAUGCCUGGGUCA